AACGAACGCUGGCGGCAGGCCUAACACAUGCAAGUCGAACGAUCCCUUCGGGGAUAGUGGCGCACGGGUGAGUAACGCGUGGGAACGUGCCCUUUGGUUCGGGAUAACACCGGGAAACUGGUGCUAAUACCGGAUGUCUCCUGUGGGAGAAAGAUUUAUCGCCAAAGGAGCGGCCCGCGUCUGAUUAGGUAGUUGGUGGGGUAAUGGCCUACCAAGCCGACGAUCAGUAGCUGGUCUGAGAGGAUGAUCAGCCACACUGGGACUGAGACACGGCCCAGACUCCUACGGGAGGCAGCAGUGGGGAAUAUUGGACAAUGGGCGCAAGCCUGUUCCAGCCAUGCCGCGUGAGUGAUGAAGGCCUUAGGGUUGUAAAGCUCUUUCGCACGCGACGAUGAUGACGGUAGCGUGAGAAGAAGCCCCGGCUAACUUCGUGCCAGCCGCCGCAGUAAGAC
rnacentral:rRNA from 1 species